UACGGGUAGGAGGCAAGCGUUGUCCGGAAUUGACUGGGCGUAAAGCGCGUGUAGGUGGUGGGACAAGUCUGCUGUGAAAGCGACCUGGCUUAACCGGGCGAGGUCGGCGGAAACUGUCCGACUCGAGGACGGUAGAGGGGGGUGGAAUUCCCGGUGUAGUGGUGAAAUGCGAUAGAGAUCGGGAGGAACACCUGUGGCGAAGGCGGGCCCCCUGGGCCGGCCCUGGACACUGAGACGCGAAGGCGUGGGGAGCGAACAGG
rnacentral:rRNA from 1 species